rnacentral:rRNA from 1 species
CUAUGGGUGGCACCAGUGAGGAAUAUUGCACAAUGGGGGGAACCCUGAUGCAGCAACGCCGCGUGGAUGAUGACGCAUUUCGGUGUGUAAACUCCUUUUAUAUGUCAAGAAAAUGACGGUAGCAUAUGAAUAAGCACCGGCUAACUCCGUGCCAGCAGCCGCGGUAAUACGGAGGGUGCAAGCGUUACUCGGAAUCACUGGGCGUAAAGGACGCGUAGGCGGGUUGGAAAGUCAGGUGUGAAAUCCUACAGCUUAACUGUAGAACUGCACUUGAAACUUCUAAUCUAGAGUAUGGGAGGGGGAGAUGGAAUUAGUGGUGUAGGGGUAAAAUCCGUAGAUAUCACUAGGAAUACCUAAAGCGAAGGCGAUCUCCUGGAACAUUACUGACGCUAAGGCGUGAAAGCGUGGGGAGCAAACAGGAUUAGAUACCCCGGUAGUC